UCAUAUUCUACUGUAGACAAUAAGGGAGGUACAAAAAGAUUUUUUUUCCAUUUUUUUUACAUUUUCUUGAAGAAUUCGGAAAAUAAAAGGACCCGUGUUUUUGUCUUUCUUGAUUCGAGCAAUAGUACCCUCUAUAGGGCACUUUAUACUUCCCAUGUAAAUGACGAUUACAACAACAAUUUGUAUGGCGGGUGUGAUCGGGUGUGAAAAUUUUUUCAACUUCAACCAGUGAUAAUUUUUCGAAUUUUGAUUUUUUCGAGAAAAGAAAAAACACGGGUCUCUUUAUUUUCCGAGUUCUUCAAGAAAAUCAACUAAAAAGUAUAUGCGGUACCUCCCUUAUUGAGUUUUUCAAAAUU